rnacentral:lncRNA from 1 species
AUUUCUUACUUAACUACAUCAAGUAAAUUUGAUAGUCGCAAAAUUAAUUUCCUGUGAAAUAGACUAGAAAGGGCUUAACCCGAAAUAAAGUAUCUGCGAAAAGAAGUUGGUUUACUGUAGUAGACAGGUUUUAAUAUCAUAUUAUGGCAACUUUAUGAGAUUCUAACAUUUUGUACAGUUCAUUCUGAUUAAAUUUUCUAAUAUUAUUAGUUCAGACAUGCAAGGUCAUUAAUUUUUUGAUAAAGAAGUAAAACAACUUUUAUUUGCAGAUCCAAGAAAAAAAGGGCGGAAAAUCCUUUUAUUCAUCCAUAUCUCAAAAGUGUUAAGUUACCGUAGAACAUUAAUUCCACUGAAUGCACCACAAGUAAUUUACUUCAGAAAAAAUUCUUUUCAUUUUGGGGGAAAAUUGGCCUCAACCUUUUAAAUUUCAUUUUUAAAAUAUUAAAAAUAGAUCACCCAAAGCUUUUAUUAUAUCUGAAUUUAUAUUGUCCCAGAA